rnacentral:rRNA from 1 species
GACCGCGACGCGUCAACGAAUGCUCGUCGGGCUUCGUCCCGACAACGCCCCGACGUCGGUCCGCCCUCGGGCGUAACGACGGCGGGGAGGAACCACCAAACCCCGGCGCGGAGAGCGCCAAGGAACACAAACGUUGGAGUCGGAGGGCCUCGUCGAAAGCAGGAGGCCUGUGUUCCGACCUUUGACCCCCACUGGAUGACUCUCGGCAACGGAUAUCUCGGCUCUUGCAUCGAUGAAGAACGUAGCGAAAUGCGAUACCUGGUGUGAAUUGCAGAAUCCCGUGAACCAUCGAGUCUUUGAACGCAAGUUGCGCCCGAGGCCAUCCGGCCAAGGGCACGCCUGCCUGGGCGUCACGCUUUCGACGCUUCGUCGGCACCCCCCCGGGGGUCUGCAGGCGAACGCGGAGGAUGGCCCCCCGUGCCCGAAGGUGCGGUUGGCCGAAGAGCCGGCCGUCGGUGCUCGUCGGACACGACGCGUGGUGGAUGCCCCGUGCGAACCGUACGUCGUUCCUUCGGGACCCGAACGAGGCCUCGAGGACCCAAGCCGUGGUGCGAUUCGAUGCGACGCCACGGACCGCGACCCCAGGUCAGGUGGGGCUACCCGCUGAGUUUAAGCAUAUCAAUAAG